rnacentral:misc_RNA from 1 species
GGAUGGUAUGAUCAAAGAGGGAAUUUUGCCCAAUGUUGUAGCAUAUAAUGCACUUCUUCAUGGUCUGUGUUUGGCUGGUAAUAUGAAUAUGGCUCUGUCUGUUUAUAGUGCAAUGGAAACAAGUGACUGCCUUCCAAAUUCGACAACCUACAGCACCCUCAUUGAUGGAUUUGCCAAAUCCGGAGAUGUGAUUAAAGCAUCUGAGAUAUGGAAUAGGAUGAUAAAUCAUGGUUGCCAUCCAAAUGUUGUUGUAUAUACAUGUAUGGUUGAUGUACUCUGCAGGAAUUUCAUGUUUGAACAAGCUU